GUUUCAGCCGCCGCGGUAAUACGUAGGGUGCGAGCGUUAUCCGGAAUUAUUGGGCGUAAAGAGCUCGUAGGCGGUUUGUCGCGUCUGUCGUGAAAGUCCGGGGCUUAACCCCGGAUCUGCGGUGGGUACGGGCAGACUAGAGUGCAGUAGGGGAGACUGGAAUUCCUGGUGUAGCGGUGGAAUGCGCAGAUAUCAGGAGGAACACCGAUGGCGAAGGCAGGUCUCUGGGCUGUAACUGACGCUGAGGAGCGAAAGCAUGGGGAGCGAACAGGAUUAGAUACCCUGGUAGUCCAUGCCGUAAACGUUGGGCACUAGGUGUGGGGACCAUUCCACGGUUUCCGCGCCGCAGCUAACGCAUUAAGUGCCCCGCCUGGGGAGUACGGCCGCAAGGCUAAAACUCAAAGGAAUUGACGGGGGCCCGCACAAGCGGCGGAGCAUGCGGAUUAAUUCGAUGCAACGCGAAGAACCUUACCAAGGCUUGACAUGUUCUCGAUCGCCGUAGAGAUACGGUUUCCCCUUUGGGGUGGGUUCACAGGUGGUGCAUGGUUGUCGUCAGCUCGUGUCGUGAGAUGUUGGGUUAAGUCCCGCAACGAGCGCAACCCUCGUUCCAUGUUGCCAGCACGUCGUGGUGGGGACUCAUGGGAGACUGCCGGGGUCAACUCGGAGGAAGGUGAGGACGACGUCAAAUCAUCAUGCCCCUUAUGUCUUGGGCUUCACGCAUGCUACAAUGGCCGGUACAAUGGGUUGCGACACUGUGAGGUGGAGCUAAUCCCAAAAAGCCGGUCUCAGUUCGGAUUGGGGUCUGCAACUCGACCCCAUGAAGUCGGAGUCGCUAGUAAUCGCAGAUCAGCAACGCUGCGGUGAAUACGUUCCCGGGCCUUGUACACACCGCCCGUCAAAC
rnacentral:rRNA from 1 species